UACGUAGGUGACAAGCGUUGUCCGGAUUUACUGGGCGUAAAGAGCGCGCAGGCGGUGGAUCAAGUCGAGUGUGAAAGCCCCCGGCUCAACUGGGGAGGGUCACUCGAUACUGAUCGACUCGAAGGCAGGAGAGGGUAGUGGAAUUCCCGGUGUAGUGGUGAAAUGCGUAGAUAUCGGGAGGAACACCAGUGGCGAAGGCGACUACCUGGCCUGUUCUUGACGCUGAGGCGCGAAAGCUAGGGGAGCAAACGGG
rnacentral:rRNA from 1 species